UAAUACGAAGGGAGCUAGCGUUAUUCGGAAUUACUGGGCGUAAAGAGCGUGUAGGCGGUUAAUUAAGUUAGUUGUUAAAUUCCUCGGCUUAACCGAGGGUCAGCAAUUGAUACUGAUUGACUAGAGGGCGAGAGAGAAAAGUGGAAUUCUCGGAGUAGCGGUAAAAUGCAUAGAUCUCGAGAGGAACACCGGUUGCGAAGGCGGCUUUUUGGCUCGUUUCUGACGCUAAAGCGCGAAAGCGUGGGGAGCAAACAGGAUUAGAUACCCUGGUAGUCCACGCCGUAAACGAUGAUCACUAGAUGUGAGUCUUGUUUUGCAAGAUUCGUGUCGUAGCUAACGCGUUAAGUGAUCCGCCUGGGGAGUACGGUCGCAAGAUUA
rnacentral:rRNA from 1 species